UGGGAAUAUUGGACAAUGGGCGCAAGCCUGAUCCAGCAACGCCGCGUGGAGGACGAAGGCCUUCGGGUCGUAAACUCCUGUCAGUAGGGACGAAAAAGUAGGGUCGAACAGGCCUUGCCAUUGACGGUACCUGCAGAGGAAGCCCCGGCUAACUCGUGCCAGCAGCCGCGGUAAUACGGAGGGGGUUGAGCGUUGUUCGGAAUUACUGGGCGUAAAGCGCACGUAGGCGGACCAGAAAGUUGGGGUGAAUCCGGGCUCACCCGAACUGCUCCAAACUAUUGGUCUAGAGUUCGAGAGAGGUGAGUGGAAUUCCAAGUGUAGAGGUGAAAAUUCGUAGAUAUUUGGAGGAACACCAGUGGCGAAGGCGGCUCACUGGCUCGAUACUGACGCUGAGGUGCGAAAGUGUGGGGAGCAAACAGGAUUAGAUACCCUGGUA
rnacentral:rRNA from 1 species